AGGGUUCCUGAGCAACGAUCGUCGUCUCAGGGUAAGUCGGGACCUAAGCCGAGGCGGAGACGCAUAGGCGAUGGACAACAGGUUGAAAUUCCUGUACCGGAUACAAUCGUUUGAGCGAUGGAGCGACGCAGAAAGGCAUAUGAUCGCGCGACUGGAAGAGCGCGUCCAAGUGCGUAUGUUGAAUCGGAGGCAAAUCCCUGAUUCUGAAAGCAGAGACACGAUGGGGAGUUAUACGAAAGUAUGACGAACUCAUAGAUCCUACACUGCCAAGAAAAACUUCUAGUGAGAAAGUAUCCGCCCGUACCGUAAACCGACACAGGUAGGCGGGGAGAGAAUCCUAAGGUGCGCGGGAAAACCCUCGUUAAGGAACUCGGCAAAUUGCAUCCGUAACUUAGGGAGAAGGAUGACCUUAAGUAAGCGAAAGGGAGAAACCCCUGGAACAGAACAAGGUGGCAGAAAAGAGGCCCAAGCAACUGUUUACCAAAAACACAGGUGCCUGCGAAAGCGAAAGCUGAAGUAUAGGUGCUGACGCCUGCCCGGUGCUGGAAGGUUAAGGAGAGAUGUCAGAGCAAUCGAAGCAUUGAACUGAAGCCCCAGUGAACGGCGGCCGUAACUAUAACGGUCCUAAGGUAGCGAAAUUCCUUGUCGGGUAAGUUCCGACCCGCAUGAAAGGCGUAAUGAUUUGGGCACUGUCUCAACGAGGGGCCCGGUGAAAUUGAAAUACCUGUGAAGAUGCAGGUUACCCGCGACUGGACAGAAAGACCCCAUGGAGCUUCACUGCAGCUUGAGAUUGAAUCUCGGUGAUGCAUGCACAGGAUAGGUGGGAGACUAAGAAGUAUGGGCUUUGGCUUAUACCGAGUCGAUGUUGGGAUACCACCCUUGUAUUGCUGAGAUUCUAACACGGAGGCUAACAACCUCGUGGACCAUCUCAGGUAGGCGGUUUGACUGGGGCGGUCGCCUCCGAAAGAGUAACGGAGGCGCCCAAAGGUUCCCUCAGGUCGGACAGAAACCGACCGAAGAGUGCAAAGGCAGAAGGGAGCUUGACUGCGAGACAGACAAGUCGAGCAGAGACGAAAGUCGGGCUUAGUGAUCCGGUGGUACUGUGUGGAAAGGCCAUCGCUCAACGGAUAAAAGCUACCCUGGGGAUAACAGGCUAAUCUCUCCCAAGAGUUCAUAUCGACGGGGAGGUUUGGCACCUCGAUGUCGGCUCAUCACAUCCUGG
rnacentral:rRNA from 1 species